rnacentral:lncRNA from 10 species
GGAAUGUCCCACCCCACCUUCCCGUGAUGACCUGAACAAGUUCUUCAGGUUAACUUUGGAGUGCCCUUGGCUGAGAGGAGGGGUUCUUUCAGAUGACUGGGGGGGCCUUAUAAUUUUAUUUUUGGUCUACAAUACAAUAUUUGUUCGUUUGUGUCUGGCUUAUUUCACUUAGCAUAAUGUCUUCAAGGUUAAUCCAUGUGAUAGCAUGUGUCAGAUCUUCCUUCCUUUUUAAGGCUGAAUAUUUUCCAUUAUAUGGACCCCAUUUUACUUAUCUAUUUAUCUGCUAAUGGACACUUGGGUUGCUUCCACCCUUUGACUACUGUGAAUAAUGUUGCUAUGAACAUGGAUGUAUAACUAUCUGUCUGAGUCAUUGCUUUCACUUUUCUGGGUAUAUACCCAGAAGUGGAAAUGAUGUAGGAGUUAAAAAGACAUUAUUUAGGCAGAUAGUGAGGGUAAGGAAGUCCUCAGUAAGGUUUUCCUUUUAAUGAAAAGCAGCCGCCAAAUCAUUUUCUUUUCUAACAAAGGGUGGCCAGUAAAAUCAAGCUGCAGACAUAGAAAGGCAGGCUAGAAGUUUGCACAGGUGAAUGCUGGCAGUUGUGCCAAUAGGAAAGGGGUUACCUGGGAAAUAGGCAUGUUCAAAAUGGCAGUUUCAUCUUCCCUUUUCCUUGCCAACCACAUGUGCAGCAGGGGGCAGACAACAUGGAGCUCGUCAGGCAAAUAGCCCAUUUGCAUAAGAUUAGGGUGGGGAAGCCAGCUUCCCUCAAGCUAUGUAAACAUCACACUAGGUCCAACCAAUCUUUGGGCCCUAUGUAAAUCAGACACCGCCUCCUCAAGCCUUUCUAUAAAACCCUGUGCACUCCACGACCAGCCGGAACUCCCACUCAGGUGCCCUUCUCUCUCUCGCAGAAGAGAGAGCUGUUUUCUUUUCUCUUUCUUUUGCCUAUUAAACCUCUGCUCCUAAACCCACUUCCUGUGUGUCUGCAUACUCGAUAUCCUUGGCAUGAGAUGGCGAACCUCAGGUGUUUACCCCAGAGAAUGAUGUUUCUUUGGAAUUGCUGAAACAUAUGAGAAUGUACAACUCCUCUGCCACAACGUGAGGGAGAGAAGUCUGCAGACGGCUGACUGGUGACGACUGAACAAGACGGAAAGGCAAGUCGCUAUGCCCGAAGCCUUUGAAGGGAGCCAGCAGGGUCCAUGGGAGGUUCAGGACACAUAUCUGCAGCCCUGCUUCUGGCCCCACCCUUGGGGAAGCCUUUUGCAGGUGAUCCUGGGCCUCUGCUGGGGAAGGCCCCAAGAGGUGAAGCAUCCUCUGCAGAGGAGAGAGCACAUCCGGAAGUAGAAGACAGACCACUGUCUGGGCUCCGUUUAACUGCUGUGAUUUGGGAUUGUAACUUACUCCCGUAAAGCCUCAGUUUCCCACAUGGAAAAUCAAAUCGAUCAUUGUUAUAACAUUUCACUUUUUUGUUAUGUGAUGUAAUUUACACAGUGCUUUCGUAUACGUUAUCCAAUUUAGCGAAAUAAUACAGAGCAAUGCAUUUUGAAAAGAAUAAAAUGCUUAACAUAUGUGAGGAAUUCUUUUUUCCUUUGAAAACUACUCCGGAUGGCUUGGCUAUUGUUUAGUUAAGAGAAUUAUACAAUUUUUGAGACAUGGUUCCUUAUCUUGUGUAGGCUGAAAGGCAAUUAAACAAUUAUUCAUGUCAGAAUCUGAGGUAAAUAAAAGGCUGCUUCAAAGAGUCCACUUACGGAGUGAAAAGCAGUUGAGUAGAAACAGAGAGUGGUCUGUAAUUUCCUUCUGGAAGGAAUAUCCACUCCAUAUGGCCUGAAGCAAGAAUUUCAAACUCCUCUGUGGGGAGAAAGAGACAGAAAUAAAAACUUUUAAGUUUUUUUACUCCGAUUUGUCCCAGCCAUUUUCUGAACAGCCUAUGGAAGCCAUCCGCUCCUCUAAACAAAAAUAAGCUAAGAGACAGAAAGAAUGAUUUGAUUUCCGUGUGUAGGGAUGGUUCAGUCAUAAAUCAGUGUAUUUUUUCCAAGAGGAAGGUGCCAGCAACAAAAGUUGGUCAUAAAAAGGACAUUAAACUUUAGUAGUCUCUUCACUGUUCCCUCCCACAUCCAGUUGCCAACAGCAGAGACAACUGUGAGACACAGUGAAAUGAAGUGACUGCUCCACUGCUGGGCAACAGGAGACCCGGAUGCCAGGCUCCCUGGCAGAAGAAAUAGAAAGUCAAUAGCAAACACAGAUGUCUUCCUCCCUACCACAUCACCUCCACUUUUCACCAUCGCCUGUGUGAUACAACCACCCCGCAAUGCCUUCCUCAGCCUUUUACUUCUGUUUCCAGUGAGUCAAGAAAAACUUCUCCAGCUUGCCCUGUGGAGAUGAAUGAGCCCAUAAUCCACUUACACGUGUGACCUUUACACAGCCAGGACCCCCAUAGAGCAGCCAAACAUGCAGUCUUGUAAACAAAAGGAAUUUCAAGAUAACUCUGAUCUUUCACUAAUUAUCCCAAAGCCCAAAGGGGAUCCAUAUACAUAGUCCGAAGCCUACUUUAAGGAGGCAUCCUCCCCUGUGUAUUCCCAGCCCAUCCCAUAGUU